rnacentral:lncRNA from 1 species
GUGCUGACCUUCUCCGGAUGCACUUCCACGACUGCUUCGUGAGGGUGAGUUCCUUCUCGACUCCUUGAUGUAUUAUUGCAUACACGGAUUCGUUUGUGUUGGAAUUGGAUGAAUGGCCGUGCACACCACACCAGGGUUGCGAUGGCUCGGUUCUUAUCGAUUCGACGGAGGACAACACCGCCGAGAAGGAUGCACAAAUCAAUCUAACCCUCGAAGGAUUUGAGAUUAUCGACGCUAUCAAGGAAAAGUUGGAGGCCGCCUGCAAAGGAGUCGUCUCGUGCGCAGACCUUCUGGCAUUCGCCGCCAGAGACAGCGUCGUACAUGUGAGCUUCAUUGAUGCUCUGUAUUCCCCUGCUGCCGAUUCAUGCGAUUGAUAUCGGCAUUAGCUUCUCGAUGUAGCCAUUUAACUUGGGAUUGAACUGGUGGUCUUGGACAGUACGGAGGAAUUCACUACAGAGUCCCUGCAGGCAGAAAAGAUGGAACGGUAUCCAAGGAAGGCGACACGAGCAUUCUCCCUUCGCCGGCCCUUGACCUCACUGAGCUCACAAAGUUGUUCAUCUCCAAGGGGUUGAGCCAAAAUGACAUGA